AUUGAACGCUGGCGGCAUGCCUUACACAUGCAAGUCGAACGGCAGCACGGGAGCAAUCCUGGUGGCGAGUGGCGAACGGGUGAGUAAUAUAUCGGAACGUGCCCAGUCGUGGGGAUAACGUAGCGAAAGCUACGCUAAUACCGCAUACGAUCUAUGGAUGAAAGCGGGGGAUCGCAAGACCUCGCGCGAUUGGAGCGGCCGAUAUCAGAUUAGGUAGUUGGUGAGGUAAAGGCUCGCCAAGCCGACGAUCUGUAGCUGGUCUGAGAGGACGACCAGCCACACUGGGACUGAGACACGGCCCAGACUCCUACGGGAGGCAGCAGUGGGGAAUUUUGGACAAUGGGCGCAAGCCUGAUCCAGCAAUGCCGCGUGCAGGAUGAAGGCCUGGU
rnacentral:rRNA from 1 species